GCAGUGGUAGGUAGGUUGGCAGCGGUAGGUAGGUUGGCAGCGGUAGGUAGGUUGGCAGUGAUAGAUUAGCAGUGAUAGAUAGAUUAGCAGCAAUAGAUUAGCAGCGAUAGAUUAGCAGCAAUAGAUUAGCAGCAAUAGAUUAGCAGUGAUAGAUUAGCAGUGGUAGGUAGGUUGGCAGCGGUAGGUAGAUUGGCAGUGGUAGAUAGAUUGGCAGCGGUAGGUAGGUUGGCAGCAAUAGAUUAGCAGUGAUAGAUAGAUUAGCAGCAAUAGAUUAGCAGCGAUAGAUUAGCAGCGAUAGAUUAGCAGUGGUAGAUAGAUUGGCAGUGAUAGGUAGGUUGGCAGCGGUAGAUAGAUUGGCAGCAGCGAUAGAUUAGCAGUGAUAGAUUAGCAGUGGUAGGUAGGUUGGCAGCGGUAGGUAGGUUGGCAGCGGUAGGUAGGUUGGCAGCGAUAGAUUAGCAGUGAUAGAUUAGCAGUGGUAGGUAGGUUGGCAGCGGUAGGUAGAUUGGCAGUGGUAGAUAGGUUGGCAGCGGUAGGUAGGUUGGCAGCAAUAGAUUAGCAGUGAUAGAUAGAUUAGCAGCAAUAGAUUAGCAGCGAUAGAUUAGCAGUGAUAGAUUAGCAGUGGUAGGUAGGUUGG
rnacentral:sRNA from 1 species